AUGGAGUGCAUACUAUUGUCGUGGUGCACUAACAUUUAUCCGUGCUGCCGUGCUCAACAGAAGUGCUUGCGCUACCGCCCUUGCGGUCUGGUCUACAUCAACAUACCGGGCCGCACCUGUCUGCGGGAGUUGUUUAUUAAGUAUGAGCAAGUCAUUGCUUGGGUAGCCGGUUUUCUUCCAACAAAUUGGAGGCAAAUUAUCAUCAACCGCCGUCUGCACUGGAUGGAUCAAUGGACAUGCGCACAAAUCGUUGCCACUACAGUUAAGUUAAAUUUCAAACAGCCAGUUGGAAGGAACCAUUGA
rnacentral:rRNA from 1 species